rnacentral:lncRNA from 1 species
UAAUGAUUAUUAGAAAUCAAGGAAUAAGAAAAUACAAAAUAAGAAAAUCACGUGUGUAGGGCUGAUUAGCCCAUUCAGAGUGCUGGUGCUCAGCUUACUUACUACAUCAUAGCAAUGGCCGACAGCCCUCCUGGGAGGCAGAGAGCCCAUUAAAUACUAAUUGUGAUUUCGCCCAGGUGAAGAUUCAGACUAUUUAACUUUGGACUUAAUGUUGGGGUUUGGAGAGGAAAUCUACCACUUUUGGAGAGGAAAUUUGAGCUGGUCCUGUUGCUGCUUUCUUGGAGGUACUGAGUAUGUGUUAUCCGAGACUGGGGACCUGCAAGCUCUCAGUGCUGCCGAAGUGGCCUGAUGGAGGGAGAAGUCUGAUUGCUGCCCCCUUAGUUUGAGCUCUGCAAAUUGGGUAGUGGCAACAAAGCUUCCAGUUUGCACUUUCUCCUGUAUCAGGGAGCCAGUAGAGGUCAGCUUUAGCCCUUGUGCUCCUCUUAUCCUGGUGCUUAGCCUCUGUGUUGUUAUGGAAUGCUCUAUGGGCAUUGUGUUUUUUCCUGCUUCGAUUCCCAGGAUCUCAAGAUUUCUCUACUUCUCUCUGCCAAACCAGGCUGGAUGAAUGACCCAGUGUGACUUUUUCUGGAUUUCCCCAUCAAGAUUCAGUCUAAAUUCAGAGGAACUUAUGAGAAGGAACGCUGCCCACAUCUAGAGAAAGACUAUGGAAACAGAAAUGCAGAAGAAAAACACACGAUUGGUCACGUGAGAAAGAAGAAAAACUAUCACUCAGAGAACUGCUUCUGUGCCGGUCACUCUCUGUCAUGUAUUAGAUGUCUGCUUGUUGGGUAUGUGUUGCCAAUAAAUUCCCUCAGUUCUACACUGUUAUUUUGGAGUGCUUUGUCCUUCAGCGUUAGCUGUUUUCAAUUAAGUGGUUUACAACUUCCCAGACCUGCCUUGAAAAUCACUGUUUGGC